rnacentral:rRNA from 1 species
AUUGAACGCUGGCGGAAUGCUUUACACAUGCAAGUCGAACGGUAGAGGGGGCAACCCCUCGAGAGUGGCGAACGGGUGAGUAAUAUAUCGGAACGUGCCCAGCCGUGGGGGAUAACGCAGCGAAAGUUACGCUAAUACCGCAUAAGAUCUAAGAAUGCAAGCGGGGGAGCGCAAGACCUCGCGCGAUUGGAGCGGCGGAUGUCAGAUUAGGUAUUUGGUGGGGUAAAGGAUCACAAAGCCAACGAUCUGUAGUUGGUCUGAGAGGACGACCAGCCACCCUGGAACUGAGACACGGUCCAGACUCCUACGGGAGGAAGCAGUGGGGAAUUUUGGACAAUGGACGCAAGUCUGAUCCAGCCAUUCCGCGUGCAGGAUGAAGGCCCUCGGGUUGUAAACUGCUUUUGUACGGAACGAAAAGGUCUCUCUUAAUACGGGGGGCUCAUGACGGUACCGUAAGAAUAAGCACCGGCUAACUACGUGCCAGCCGCCGCGGUAA